AGUGAACGCUGGCGGUAGGCCUAACACAUGCAAGUCGAACGGCAGCGCAGUAAGAGCUUGCGCUUACGGGUGGCGAGUGGCGGACGGGUGAGGAAUACAUCGGAAUCUACUUGUUCGUGGGGGGAACGUAGGGGAACUAACGCUAAUACCGCCUACGACCUACGGGGGAAAGCAGGGAAGCUUCGGACCUUGCGCGCUGGCAUGAGCCGAUGUCGGAUUAGCUAGUUGGCGGGGUAAAGGCCUACCAAGGCGACGAUCCGUAGCUGGUCUGAGAGGAUGAUCAGCCACACUGGAACUGAGACACGGUCCAGACUCCUACGGGAGGCAGCAGUGGGGAAUAUUGGACAAUGGGCGCAAGCCUGAUCCAGCCAUACCGCGUGGGUGAAGAAGGCCUUCGGGUUGUAAAGCCCUUUUGUUGGGAAAGAAAAGCAGCAGGUUAAUACCCCGCUGUUCUGACGGUACCCAAAGAAUAAGCACCGGCUAACUUCGUG
rnacentral:rRNA from 1 species